AGGAUGAUCUCAUUCUAAGUGGACUGAAUGGGGUACUGAUUCUGUUUUGGAUCGGUAGGCCUGUGUGGCAUUCACAAUGCAAGCAUCCUGUCCUUGAAGAAGUCCAGAGAAAACAUAGAUGUGAAAGCCCACAACAUGAAAGGAACGAGGACAUAUGUCCUUGGAAUCAUGAGCUGCUGUGAAAAAAGCCUAUGACCCUGAAGCCACUAUGUUGGAGAGACUUAAUGGAAAGGCCCAUUUGGAGAGGAGAGGCCAUCAGUCAGAAGCAGGCAUCAACUACCUGACAUAGGAGGGUAGCUGUCUUUAGAUGAUUGCACUUCCUCAUCUUUGAGUCUUCCAUCUGAGACCGCAGACGUUAUAAGGCAUAGAAAAGCCACCUCUGUUGUACCCUGUUGGACUUCUUAAUCCAUAAAACCUAAGAGCAAAAUAAAUGGCUGCUUUAUAUUAUACAUGUUUAUUAGUGUGAGAGCAAUCUGUUAUGUGACCAUAGUAACUGAAGCAACAAUGAAGAAAAUAAUUUAAAACUAGCUGAUCUACUAUACAUAAUGGUUCCCAGACUCAUAUACUAAGACUCUCCAUAAGAAGUCUUCUACUGGCCAUCUGUCUCCUUAGGGUCUGGCUUUCUACCAUGUUGUAAAGACUGCUCUACUGCUCAGUUGGAAUAUCUUGAAGAGAUCUUGCCACUUCCUAUUUGAAUUCAGGCCCUCAGAAAGGAAAAACAGCAUCCUAAAGAAGAAAAAAAUUCUAGAUAUUUGAAACAUCACUGGCAAUGAAUACUUAGCCAAUGACAGUCCAUGGAAAGUGCCUGAGCACCUUAAUAAUUCACAGCUUUUCAUGCCAUAUGGGUUCCUUGCUUAUUUUUACCUAGCCAAACUAUGUUUUAAAUUGUCUUAUCCUAAAGUGAAAAUGUGGUCUUCUCCUAGAGAUGAGUAGAAUCUUUAAUGUUUAGAGAAAUAGAAAAGCUAUUGACUGCUUUAAAAAUGGCAUGUUUUUUCAUUUUUCAAAAAUAUUAAGGUCAAUACUCAAACAUAAAACCUAAUGAUUUCUAUUCUAUUCAAGAAGGUGGAUUUGGAAGAGGUCAAGAGACCAUUUCACUUUAAGGCACAUUGCUUUUCUUGCUAUCAAUCUAAGGGUGGGUGACAGGAAGAGAUGAGAUGUUCAAAAGAGACUUACCCUAUUCUAUAUUAAAGAAAGUAAGAGAUGUGAAUGGAGCAGUAUCCCAAAAUUAAGGGGAAGCUGCUGGUUUUGUUGUCAUAAAAUAAGAAGAAUGAAAUUCAGCAAACAAUCCACAUUCUUCAACUAAAUUAUUCCUGAAGGGCAUUUGCUUUUUAAAGCUUUAAACAUCAAAUAUAGUUUUCUGGGAGUUUUUCUUCAUUUUUUUAGUAAUGGAUUGUCACCUUGUCAUCUGUCUCUCAGACCACUCUUCUUUAGUAGUUUGUGAAACCAGAGAAAGUAUCACUUAAAUUAUUUGUCCUUGUGUAUCUUAUUUUCAAAAGCAGGAUUCCAGGGGCAGUUGGGAGAUAAAAGAAAAAAAUCUAUAUCUCUUAUGUUCUAUUAAAUCACUGGAUCACUUGUUUUUGUCAACAAUAACACCAUCUGGUCUGUUAAAAAUUGAUUUAAUAAAUAUGCUAUGUGACAUCAACUGCCCAGACAGAUUUGCUCAAGGGACUAAUGCCCAGAGUUUGAGAAUCUUUGCAGGACUCAUUAGUAUACAUUUGAUGGAGGAAUGCCCUCUGAAUUCCAGGUGCCCAUAGGGGAUUUGCAUAUCAUAGAGCUGAGGGGUUGUCCUCAGAGAAUUACAGUCUGAUCCUUUUCCUUAAUAUUUGUUCCCCUGUAGGGUCACUUGUCAGCCUCCUUUGCUCUUGAAGAGGGUGAGUCAUUUUUUUUUCUUUUUUUCUGGAGACGGGGUCUUGCUUUGUCACCCAGGCUGAAGGGGAGUCGUGCAAUCACGGCUCACUGCAGCCUUGACCUCUGAGGGCUCAAGUAAUCCUCCCACCUCAGCCUCUUGAGCAGCUGAAGUCACAGGUGCGUGCCACCACUCCUGGAUCAUUUAUUUUUAUUCUUAUUUUUUUGUAGACAGGGUCUCUCUAUGUUGCCCAGGCUGAGUCAUUUUGAUUAAACAUGCAGGUCUCUGCUUUAGAGACACCUUUGCAUUUUUUUUUGUUAGGAAAACUACUAUCCUGAAGAUUGUUGAUUCUAUCAUUUAUCCAAAAAAAUGAGAUUCUGAUUAGUCCAAACACAGAAGUCCCUGCAGUAACAGCAGGGUUGUGACCUGCAUCACAAUAAAAAUAGCAUUCAAUAUACCUGCUGCAGAUAAUUUCUAGCAAAGAAUUUGUACUUUAUAAUUCUAUUUUCAUUUUAUCAGUUCGUCUGUGAAUUUUAUCAAUAGCAUUUUAAUCCUUCCUACUUUCUAAAGGACUAGAGUUUUGACCAAUCUGAAGAUCUUUGAGGGAAAGGUUCAAGAUUUUUGCUAAUACAGAGCUGUUUCAGCAUGUUAGCCAGGAUUAAUCAGCCCUUCACAGGAAAUGUUUUCUUAUUAAAGAGGAAAUCUCACCUGUUUUGGUCACUUACCUUGCAAACAAACUUUCUUUUUCAUAGGAGAAAAGCCUGGUGUGAUUCCAGGGUUUCAUUUUCCC
rnacentral:lncRNA from 1 species